ensembl:lncRNA novel transcript, antisense to CHRM2
AGUUUGGGCACCUCCUGAACCCGUACGUCAUCCGUUAUGGUCCCCACAGCCACAGCCUUUCUGUUUUCCCGGUCAGGAAGCUUUAUGUUCUGGAUCAUCCAGGAGAGGGACAGAGGUGGUCGGUUGGUGCGACUCAUAAACAACCUCUUCAGCACAACCUGGUUGAAUGUGGAGUUGUUCCGUCUGACCAGAAACCUGUACAGUUUGACCAACAGCCUCAGGGUGUUGGUGUCCCUCUGUUGCCCAGGCUGGAGUGCAGUGGCAAGACUGGCUCACUGCAACCUCCACCUCCUGGGAUCAAGCGAUCCUCCCAUCUCAUCCUCCAGGAGCUGGGACUAAAGAAAGAGAAAUUGAUCAGAAUCUACUGACAGUUCUUCCUGUCUGGCUGUGUAAUGGAUUAGCAUAGAGACGAGCAGCACACCUCUGUCAGAAAACCUAAAUUUAAGUCACAUCUCGGGGCUCUAACAAUUUACCACCAACAGCGUCUUUGGAGCUCUGAAGAAGAUCCUGAUUUUCUCAAAAACAAGUCAUUGAGUUCUACACUGUAAAGCAAGACAUGGAUUACUACAUCCUAUAUUUUAUAAUACACAUGAACACAUUAGGAAGGAGUAUGCAGGAUUUAAUAUUCUCUGUAUAUUUCUGCUACAUUGUUUCUAAAGAGAGUAGUGGAAUAGUCCUCCUGUAUCUUCUAUUAAUGCCUCCUUACUUCCUUAAUUUUGAUUGAAUUACAUAUUUUCUGACUCUAUGUGACAUGAAUUACACUUAAACAUCAUACUUCUUAGCCAACAGAUGUGCAAAGUUGUGACAUACCUUAGAAAAUUUUUCAUAUUGUUUAUCUCAUUUGGCUAAUAGAUGGAAAUCAUGCAAACUAGUAAGAAUUAUCUGAUAGCUCCUGUAUGAAAACUCAAAUUUUUCUUAGGAGAAAAACCAAUUAUUCACAUUUUUACUUGGAUGAGCAUUCACUUGUGGUCAGUGCUAUAACAGGAAGAUCUCUCAGGGUACCCAAUGUGGGAUCAUUUUUAGUUUGCCAAAUGAUGAAAUUUCCAGACAGAAAGAGCCCUUUUUGAAUAAUAAAUUACUGCAACAUAUCUACAAGAACACUUCCAAAAUAAAAGUGUUCAUUUUAUUUUAGAGCAAGGGACUUUCCCACUAGCUUAGUAUUAAAAUUACAUGAUUGUAAUGUAUGGGAGAUUACUGGGAACAUAAUCAAUAUUUUGAAAUUUAAAAGUAUGUAAUAUUCCUUUGGGGUAAGUUUCCGAAGAAUAACUGUAACACUUUGAAUUUGUCUACCACUACAAAGUCAUCAUAAACCAUACAUCAACCAACUCAAUUUACAGCACCUAAAAUUUGCUUCCUAUAUAAAUUAACAGAUUAAGUCUUUAGUAUAGUCUAUUCUUUGGUCAGUGUUGUAAGUAUGAUCUUAUGUUAGAAACCAGAUUUAAAACUCCUUGAAAUCUCUCACUAUUUCAUCCAUCUUGAUAGUGCUUGUUUUCUUCAACAAAUAAAAAAUAGUGUUUAUUUUACUCUUUUGAUAUACU